rnacentral:lncRNA from 1 species
CUGGCUCCGGUACAUUGGAAAUCAACUGCUUUUUUUCUGAUCCUGAGCUGCUUUCGGACCCCUGUCGGAUAGUAAAUCCCAAGUAAGGCACCUGCGGUCGGCAGAUCUGAGCUUUCUUCUUGGGCACCUAAUACCCUCAGUCCUCCAGCAGUGAAGGAUCCAGUGAGAUUUUCCAGGUUAACGGUCAUAACCGCCUACUGGUCCAACGUUCAGAACACAGGCACGUGGACAAUACACAGUAGAUGUGGAAGGACACGGUUGUACAUUUAUCCAGGCCACCCUUAAGUACAAUGUUCUCCUACCUAAGAAGGCAUCUGGAUUUUCUCUUUCCUUGGAAAUAGUAAAGAACUACUCUUCGACUGUUUUUGACCUCACAGUGAC